UGGCGCAUGCGCGCCGCCCGGUGCAAGAUGUCGGCGCAGGGGGACUGUGAGUUCCUGGUGAAGCGGGCCCGGGAGCUGGUGCCGGGGGAUCUGUGGGCGGCCAAGGCCUGGCUCAUCACGGCGCGGAGCCUCUACCCCGCCGACUUCAACAUACAGUAUGAGAUGUACACUAUUGAGAGGAAUGCUGAGAGGACGGCGUCUGCAGGCAGGCUGCUCUACGACAUGUUUGUGAAUUUUCCAGACCAACCUGCUGUAUGGAGGGAGAUCAGUGUUAUUACAUCAGCAUUGAGGAAUGACUCCCAGGACAAGCAGACACAGUUUUUAAGAGGAUUAUUUGAGACCCUUCCUGGACGGGUCCAGUGUGAAAUGCUCCUGAAGGCAACAGAGCAGUGCUUUAACACAUUAGAGAGGGCAGAGAUGCUCCUUCUGCUUCUGCGGCGUUUCCCAGAGACCGUGGUGCAACAUGGGGUAGGCCUUGGAGAAACAUUAUUAGAUGCUGAAAGUAUUGAAGACCAAGAAUCUCCAGUGAAUUGUUUUAGAAAAUUAUUUGUUUGUGAUGUUCUUCCUCUGAUAAUUAACAACCCUGAUGUACGACUUCCUGCCAGCUUGUUAUAUAAAUACCUGAAUAAAGCAGCAGAAUUUUAUAUUAAUUACGUAACUAGAUCUACACAGACAGAAAGUCAAUAUCAAGGUUCACAAGAUUCCUCUGAUAUUAUGUCUCCAAGCAAGCGCAGCUCUCAGAAAUAUGUAAUAGAUGGUCUCACAGAGAAAUCAUCCCAGAUUACAGAUCCUUGGGAGAGGCUGUUUAAAAUCUUGUCCGUGGUGGGAAUGAGGUGUGAGUGGCAAAUGGAUAAAGGAAGAAGAAGUUAUGGUGACAUUCUGCAUCGAAUGAAAGAUCUCUGCAGAUACAUCAGUAACUUUGAUAGUGAAGCCCACAUUAAAUACAAGAAUCAAGUAGUGUAUUCCACGAUGUUGGUCUUCUUUAAAAAUGCUUUUCAGUAUGUCAGCAACAUCCAGCCAUCACUCUUUCAAGGUCCAAAUGCUCCAAACCAAACUCCACUGGUUCUUCUCGAGGAUGUGCCCAACAUCUAUGGUGAUACAGAUAUUGAUCGUAACAAACACAUACACAAAAAAAGGAAACUUGCUGAAGGAAGAGAAAAAACAAUGCAGAGCUCAGAUGAUGAGGAUCCCUCUGGGAAGGCAAGAAGUCGCCAUAUUACAGUAAAUAAGGCUGAUCUUGCAAACUCUAUUGAAGUAUUAGAGAGUUUCAAACUGGCAAGGGAGAGCUGGGAGCUGCUUUAUUCUCUGGAAUCACUUGACAAAGAAUUCACGAGAAUUUGUUUGUCAUGGAAGACAGAAACCUGGCUUUGGUUAAGAAUCUUUCUUACAGACAUGAUCAUCUACCAGGGGCAGUACAAAAAAGCAAUUAGCAGCCUACAUCACUUGGCAGCUCUUCAGGGCUCUCAUUCUCCCCAGCAAAUUACAGGACAAGGAUCUUUAGAAAAUCAGAGAGCGCUAAUCCAGUUGGCAUCGUGCCACUUUGCCCUUGGAGAAUAUCGGCAAACAUGUGAAAAAGUGCUUGACCUCAUGAGCUGUAUUUUACUUCCAAUACAAGAAGGAGGUAAAGUACAAGAGGAGCAACCUAAAGUCAAGUCAAAAUUCAGGAAAGGGUCUGAUUUGAAGCUUUGGCCGUGUACCAGUAGAGCUGUCAUGCCUUACUGCCUUCAUCUGUUGUUAGCUUGUUUCAAGCUCAGAGCUUUCACAGACAGCAGAGAUGAUAUGGCCCUGGGCCACGUAGUUGUUCUGCUUCAGCAUGAGUGGCCGAGGGGUGAGAACUUGUUCCUGAAAGCCAUCAACAAAAUCUGCCAGCAAGGAAACUUCCAGUAUGAGAAUUUUUUCAACUAUGUCACAAAUAUUGAUAUGUUGGAGGAAUUUGCUUAUUUAAGAACACAGGAAGGAGGGAAAAUUCAUCUGGAACUGCUGCCAAAUCAAGCAAUGUUGAUCAAGACCUCUAGCCCUCCCAUGGGGUUACUGCAGCAGGAAUUCAUACCUGUGCUACAGCCCAGCAUACAGACUGCUGACAGGCACCACACAGUUACCCGGGGUAUAACUAAAGGAGUGAAGGAGGACUUCCGCCUGGCCAUGGAGCGCCAGGUCUCGCGCUGUGGGGAAAAUCUCAUGGUGGUCUUGCAUAGGUUCUGCAUUAAUGAGAAAAUACUGCUGCUGCAGACUCUUGCUUGAAUGGACUGGAUCCUGAUGCAGUGGCUUUUAUGGAGAGAGGGGAAGGCUCUUUGUAGGAACAAGCAGCAUAGCAGUGGAAAAUCUCUUGUUCAGAGGGUCAAGAAGUUCCCUGGUGGACGAGUGCCAGCCAAUAUGGUCAGAUCUGCUGCCUUUACAAACAAAUGCUGCCUGCCCUUCAAAGCUCUGGGGUUUCUGGUAGGAGGUACGAUACCCUGCUGUCACCCUGCCUAUUUUCCUACCCAGACAACAGGGACCAAAGCUGCUGAAAGGUCCCCUCUGCUGUGGCUUUGCAUUCUCUGCUCGUGUUUGUUGUGUGCCCAGUGUGGUUAAAACCACAGUGGGAUACUUUGGGAAACACACUUAUCUAAAAUCACAGAGACACAACCUACACAGCUGCCCAGGGGAUUUAGUCUUCUACAUCUUCAGAAGUAGUAUUACUCUGUUGACAGGCCUUUGAGUUUCCCAUUAGGUUACACAAGUCUCAGCAGUCCCUUCCAAAACCAACUUUGAACAGCUGUGGUAUUUUGCUUGGUACUAGGCAGCUGUUCACUGAGACCUUGACUUGAUACCAAACUCAGGACAGUCAUUAGGCAAUAGCAGCUUGUAGACCUCAUUUAAAGAAUUUAUUGUCCCUCUCUCCUAAAUAUCUGGUCUCAAGUGCCCCAGCUCUAUGCAAAGGUUCCACUCAACUUAAUCUUUCUGGAAUCCUGCAGGUUACCUCAGUCUAAAUCCCUACUUUCUUGCAGACAAUGGAAGUGAAGAAAACAAAAGGAUAGUAUCAGUGCAGAAAGAAUCAUAAGGAAUAUGUC